rnacentral:rRNA from 1 species
GAUGAACGCUGGCGGCGUGCCUAAUACAUGCAAGUCGAGCGAACAGACGAGGAGCUUGCUCCUCUGACGUUAGCGGCGGACGGGUGAGUAACACGUGGAUAACCUACCUAUAAGACUGGGAUAACUUCGGGAAACCGGAGCUAAUACCGGAUAAUAUAUUGAACCGCAUGGUUCAAUAGUGAAAGACGGUUUUGCUGUCACUUAUAGAUGGAUCCGCGCCGCAUUAGCUAGUUGGUAAGGUAACGGCUUACCAAGGCGACGAUGCGUAGCCGACCUGAGAGGGGGAGCGGCGACCGGGGAACGGGGCACGGGCCGAGACACCGGGGGGGGGAGGAGGGGGGGAAUCUGCGGGAAGGGGGGAAGGCCGGAGGGGGCAGCGCGGGGGGAGGGAGGAAGGUGUUGGGAUGGAAAAACUGUUUUAUGGGGGAAGAAAAAAGGGGUAAGAAACUAGGCCCGUCUGGAGGUACCCUAAGAAGAAGGCCAGGGCAAACUCGGGG